GAUGAACGCUGGCGGCGUGCCUAAUACAUGCAAGUCGAGCGAACGGGCGAGAAGCUUGCUUCUCUGAUGUUAGCGGCGGACGGGUGAGUAACACGUGGAUAACCUACCUAUAAGACUGGGAUAACUUCGGGAAACCGGAGCUAAUACCGGAUAAUAUUUUGAACCGCAUGGUUCAAAAGUGAAAGACGGUCUUGCUGUCACUUAUAGAUGGAUCCGCGCUGCAUUAGCUAGUUGGUAAGGUAACGGCUUACCAAGGCAACGAUGCAUAGCCGACCUGAGGGGGUGAUCGGCCACACUGGAACUGAGACACGGUCCAGACUCCUACGGGAGGCAGCAGUAGGGAAUCUUCCGCAAUGGGCGAAAGCCUGACGGAGCAACGCCGCGUGAGUGAUGAAGGUCUUCGGAUCGUAAAACUCUGUUAUUAGGGAAGAACAUAUGUGUAAGUAACUGUGCACAUCUUGACGGUACCUAAUCAGAAAGCCACGGCUAACUACGCG
rnacentral:rRNA from 1 species